GCGUGGUGCUCCAUCAUGGUGGUGAGCACCACGUCGUCGGGGCCGACGUGCCGGCGCACCCACGCGUAGGCCACGAGGUUCAUGGCCUCCGUCGCGUUC
rnacentral:tRNA from 1 species